rnacentral:rRNA from 1 species
GACGAACGCUGGCGGCGUGCUUAACACAUGCAAGUCGAACGCUGAAGCUCAGCUUUUGUUGGGUGGAUGAGUGGCGAACGGGUGAGUAACACGUGAGUAACCUGCCUCCUUCUUUGGGAUAACGCCCGGAAACGGGUGCUAAUACUGGAUAUUCACUGGUCUUCGCAUGGGGGUUGGUGGAAAGGGUUUUUCUGGUGGGGGAUGGGCUCGCGGCCUAUCAGCUUGUUGGUGGGGUGAUGGCCUACCAAGGCUUUGACGGGUAGCCGGCCUGAGAGGGUGACCGGUCACAUUGGGACUGAGAUACGGCCCAGACUCCUAUGGGAGGCAGCAGUGGGGAAUAUUGCACAAUGGGCGCAAGCCUGAUGCAGCGACGCCGCGUGAGGGAUGGAGGCCUUCGGGUUGUGAACCUCUUUCGCUCAUGGUCAAGCCGCAACAAUGGUUGUGGUGAGGGUAGUGGGUAAAGAAGCGCCGGCUAACUACGUG